rnacentral:rRNA from 1 species
UACAGAGGGUGCAAGCGUUAAUCGGAAUUACUGGGCGUAAAGCGCACGUAGGCGGUUUUUUAAGUCAGAUGUGAAAGCCCCGGGCUCAACCUGGGAAUUGCAUUCAAAACUGCACGGCUAGAGUACGGGAGAGGGGGGUAGAAUUCCAGGUGUAGCGGUGAAAUGCGUAGAGAUCUGGAGGAAUACCGAUGGCGAAGGCAGCCCCCUGGCCUGAUACUGACACUGAGGUGCGAAAGCAUGGGGAGCAAACAGGAUUAGAUACCCCGGUAGU